AGUAUGAUGGCCGAGCGGUCCAAGGCGUCUGAUUCAAGCUCAAAUCCUCCAUGAGGGCGGGGGUUCGAAUCCCUCUCAUACUA
rnacentral:tRNA from 1 species